UACGGAGGGAGCUAGCGUUAUUCGGAAUUACUGGGCGUAAAGCGCACGUAGGCGGCUUUGUAAGUUAGAGGUGAAAGCCUGGAGCUCAACUCCAGAAUUGCCUUUAAGACUGCAUCGCUUGAAUCCAGGAGAGGUGAGUGGAAUUCCGAGUGUAGAGGUGAAAUGCGUAGAUAUCUGGAGGAACACCGGUGGCGAAGGCGGCAUCCUGGACCGGCAUUGACGCUGAGGCGCGAAAGCCAGGGGGCAAACGGG
rnacentral:rRNA from 1 species